rnacentral:rRNA from 1 species
ACUCAAAGGAAUUGACGGGGGCUCACACAAGCGGUGGAGCAUGUGGCUCAAUUCGAAGCAACGCGAAGAACCUUAUCCUGGGCUUGACAUGCACGGAUUAGCUCCUGGAAACAGGAGUGACGCUCGCAAGAGUGGAACGUGCACAGGUGCUGCAUGGCUGUCGUCAGCUCGUGCUGUGAAGUGUCGGGUUAAGUCCCUUAACGAGCGAAACCCCUAUCGUUAGUUGCUACCGGGUCAUGCCGAGGACUCUAACGAGACUGCCGGUGUCAAACCGGAGGAAGGUGGGGAUGACGUCAAGUCCUCAUGGCCUUUAUGCCCAGGGCUGCACACGUGCUACAAUGGCGUGAACAAAGCGAAGCAAGACCGCAAGGUGGAGCAAAUCGCAGAAAACACGCCCCAGUUCAGAUCGAGGUCUGCAACCCGACCUCGUGAAGUUGGAAUCGCUAGUAAUCGCGGAUCAGCUACGCCGCGGUGAAUAUGUUCCUGAGCCUUGUACACACCGCCCGU